ACCNCCUCCAAGGAAGGCAGCAGGCGCGCAAAUUACCCAAUGCCCACCGGGCGAGGUAGUGACGAAAAAUAGCAAUGCUGGCGGCCGGUAGUGCCGUCGGUAAUUGAAAUGGGUACAGCCUAAACCCUUUAACGAGGAGCGAUUAGAGGGCAAGUCUGGUGCCAGCAGCCGCGGUAAUUCCAGCUCUAACAGCGUAUAUAAAGACUGUUGCGGCUAAAACGCUCGUGGUUGGAUUUCAGGCCGGGGGCCCACCGCGUCGCGGGCUUCUCGAGAGAGGAGCGCUUAAAUAGGCGACGAGGCAGAGUUCCCUUGACUGGGGAUUCGCGGGCCGACCGUGUUCCUGACUGGCACUCUCGUCCGAGUGGGGGCUCUUGACCGGGUUCCCCCGGGCGGCCAAGUCACAUUUACUUUGAACAAAUUGGAGUGCUCAGAGCGAGGCCUUAGGGCCUGAACAUUGGUUGCAUGGAAUAAUGGAAAAGGACCUCGGGUCCAACGGUGGUCUUCGGGACACCGAGGUAAUGAUUAACAGGGACUGCCGGGGGCAUUCGUACUGCGGGGCGAGAGGUGAAAUUCAGAGACCCUCGCAGGACGGCCAACAGCGAAAGCAAGUGCCAAGCAUGUUUUCACUAAUCUAGAACGAAAGUCGGGGGCUCGAAGACGAUUAGAUACCGUCGUAGUCCCGACCGUAAACUAUGCCAACCGUCGAUCCGCCUCGGGUUACUACCAUGACCUGGCGGGCAGUCUCCGGGAAACCACUGAGUUGGUUCCGGGGGGAGUACGGUUGCAAGACUGAAACUUAAAGGAAUUGACGGAAGGGCACCACCAGGAGUGGAGCCUGUGGCUCAAUUUGACUCAACACGGGAAACCUCACCCGGCCCGGACAUUCGGAAGGAUUGACAGAUUAAACGGCUCUUUCUCGAUCCGGUGGGUGGUGGUGCAUGGCCGUUCUUAGUCGGUGGAGCGAUUUGUCUGGUUAAUUCCGAUAACGGACGAGACUCUCUCCUGCUAACUAGUUCGGGCAAACCAGAUGAAACACUCUGGGGCGCCUCCCGGCUCUGGGCCUUCGGGCCAAUCCGGGUUGGCGCUGCCCUGCAAAACUUCUUAGAGGUACAGGUGGCUUGACAAGCCACACGAGAUUGAGCUAUAACAGGUCUGUGAUGCCCUUAGAUGGCCGGGGCCGCACAUGUGCUACAAUGAUCGAGACAGCGGGCGCCAAGCCUGGCCCGAAAGGGUUUUCAGGAAAUCCCUGAACCUCGAUCUUAGUAGGGAUUGGGGCUUGCAAUUAUUCCCCAUGAACGAGGAAUUCCCGGUAGGCGCGGGUCACUAGCCCGCAUCGAUCGAGUCUCUGCCCUUUGUACACACCGCCCGUCGCUACUGCCGAUCGCUCUGGCUGACGAGCCUCUCGGAUUGGACCCAUGCGUGCUCUUCGGGGCCGCAUUCGGAUGCGCCGAGAAGCGCGGCGAGUCGGCCGGAGUAGAGGGAGUAAAAGUCGUAACAAGGUAUCC
rnacentral:rRNA from 1 species